GCCUCUGUGGUCUAGUGGUAGAAGCUUCGAUUCAUGACCCUGAGGUCCCGGGUUCGAUUCCCGGGUGGGACC
rnacentral:tRNA from 1 species